rnacentral:tRNA from 1 species
GGCUCGGUGGCCGAGAGAGAGAUAGAGGCACCGGUCUUCGAACGGGCAGGACGUAGGUUCGAAUCCCAUUCGGGCCG